UAGUAGACGUUUUUGAUCCCUGGCUUCAGGACGAACGCUGGCGGCGUGCCUAAUAAGUGAAUCGAGCGAACAGAGAAGGAGCCUGCUCCUUUGACGUUAGCGGCGGACGGGUGAGUAACACGUGGGCAACCUACCUUAUAGUUUGGGAUAACUCCGGGAAACCGGGGCUAAUACCGAAUAAUCUGUUUCCCCUCAUGGUGAAAUAUUGGAAAGACGGUUUUCGGCUGUCGCUAUAGGAUGGGGCCCGCGGGCCAUUAGCUAAGGUGGGGAGGGUAACAGCUCACCAYUGCCACCAUCCCUACCCCAACCCUGGAAAGGGGGAAUCCGCCCCCCUGGGAAAGGAGGAACCGCCCCAAACUCCUACGGAA
rnacentral:rRNA from 1 species